rnacentral:rRNA from 1 species
UACAGGGGGGGGCAAGCGUUGUUCGGAAUUACUGGGCGUAAAGGGUUCGUAGGUGCCACCUAAGUCAGACGUGAAAUCCCUCAGCUUAACUGGGGAACUGCGUCUGAUACUGGGUGGCUUGAGUUCGGGAGAGGAAAGCGGAAUUCCGGGUGUAGCGGUAGAAAUGCGUAGAUACUCCGGAGGAACACCGGUGGCGAAGGCGGCUUUCUGGACCGACACUGACGCUGAGGCGCGAAAGCUAGGGGAGCAAACGGG